AUGGACGCAAGUCUGAUGGAGCAACGCCGCGUGAGUGAAGAAGGCUUUCGGGUCGUAAAACUCUGUUGUUGGAGAAGAAUGGUCGGCAGAGUAACUGUUGUCGGCGUGACGGUAUCCAACCAGAAAGCCACGGCUAACUACGUGCCAGCAGCCGCGGUAAAACGUAGGUGGCAAGCGUUAUCCGGAUUUAUUGGGCGUAAAGCGAGCGCAGGCGGUUUUUUAAGUCUGAUGUGAAAGCCCUCGGCUUAACCGAGGAAGCGCAUCGGAAACUGGGAAACUUGAGUGCAGAAGAGGACAGUGGAACUCCAUGUGUAGCGGUGAAAUGCGUAGAUAUAUGGAAGAACACCAGUGGCGAAGGCGGCUGUCUGGUCUGUAACUGACGCUGAGGCUCGAAAGCAUGGGUAGCGAACAGGAUUAGAUACCCUGGUAGUCCAUGCCGUAAACGAUGAAUGCUAGGUGUUGGAGGGUUUCCGCCCUUCAGUGCUGCAGCUAACGCAUUAAGCAUUCCGCCUGGGGAGUACGACCGCAAGGUUGAAACUCAAAGGAAUUGACGGGGGCCCGCACAAGCGGUGGAGCAUGUGGUUUAAUUCGAAGCAACGCGAAGAACCUUACCAGGUCUGACAUCUUUUGAUCACUGA
rnacentral:rRNA from 2 species